ACCGCCCUGGUGGGCUCGGCUGGUCAACAUGUCCGGAGGGACCGGCAUGGGGAGCUGCUCACCGGGACACAGCUCGCUGCCAAGAUAAAGAAUUUAUCUGAUGUGAUGAAGAAACAUCGCUCGGGCUUCUCCUCUCCCUGUCAGAUGGCCAUCGCCUUCCACAACCAGGGAGCCCUGGACAGAGCCC